rnacentral:rRNA from 1 species
AACGCUAGCUACAGGCUUAACACAUGCAAGUCGAGGGGUACCAUGGUCAAAGCUUGCUUUGACUGAUGACGACCGGCGGAUGGGUGAGUAACACGUAUCCAACCUACCGUAUACACGGGGAUAGCCUUUCGAAAGAAAGAUUAAUACCCGAUGGUGUAAAGAGAUCCCCUGAUUUUUUUACUAAAGAUUUAUCGGUAUACGAUGGGGAUGCGUUCCAUUAGAUCGUUGGUAGGGUAACGGCCUACCAAGUCAACGAUGGAUAGGGGUUCUGAGAGGAAGAUCCCCCACAUUGGAACUGAGACACGGUCCAGACUCCUACGGGAGGCAGCAGUGAGGAAUAUUGGUCAAUGGGCGAGAGCCUGAACCAGCCAAGUCGCGUGAGGGAAGACGGCCCUACGGGUUGUAAACCUCUUUUGUCAGGGAGCAAGGACGGAUACGCGUAUCCGAGCGAGAGUACCUGAAGAAAAAGCAUCGGCUAACUCCGUGCCAGCAGCCGCGGUAAUACGGAGGAUGCGAGCGUUAUCCGGAUUUAUUGGGUUUAAAGGGUGCGUAGGCGGGAUGCCAAGUCAGCGGUAAAAUUGCGUGGCUCAACCACGCCGAGCCGUUGAAACUGGUGUUCUUGAGUGGAAGAGAAGUACGCGGAAUGCGUGGUGUAGCGGUGAAAUGCAUAGAUAUCACGAAGAACUCCGAUUG